rnacentral:rRNA from 1 species
AGCAGCCGCGGUAAUUCCAGCUCCAAUAGCGUAUAUUAAAGUUGUUGCAGUUAAAAAGCUCGUAGUUGAAUUUCGAGAUCAAAUUGUUGGUCGUGCCUCGGUACGUACUGGCAUUAUUGAUUUCUCCUUUCUGAAGAACCAUGAUGUCAUUAAUUUGGUGUCUUGGGGAAUCAGGACCGUUACUUUGAAAAAAUUAGAGUGUUUAAAGCAGGCUCACGCUUGAAUACAUUAGCAUGGAAUAAUGAAAUAGGACGUUUGAUUCUAUUUUGUUGGUUUCUAGGAUCGACGUAAUGAUUAAUAGGGAUAGUUGGGGGCAUUAGUAUUCAAUUGUCAGAGGUGAAAUUCUUGGAUUUAUUGAAGACUAACUACUGCGAAAGCAUUUGCCAAGGAUGUUUUCAUUAAUCAAGAACGAAAGUUAGGGGAUCGAAGACGAUCAGAUACCGUCGUAGUCUUAACCAUAAACUAUGCCGACUAGGGAUCGGAUGAUGUUAAUUUUUAAUGUACUCAUUCGGCGUA